GCAAUGAUACGGGAGAGCGCGGGAAGGGAAGAGUGUGGUCCCUUUAAAUGAUACAGAAGGGAGGUGCUGGGUAGAGGGGUGCGUGGUCCCCGGCUAGGGCUCCACCCCCCCGGACCUGGGUGAGGACAGGCACUUCUGCCUUCUUGCCCAAAUGUUGCAUUUUUCAAGACUACCCUGGCCCGCCAUGCCCCCAUCCUGGGCCUAUAAAAACCCGAGACCCUAGCAGGGCAGAGGCAGAAACUGCUGCAUGCUGAGAGGAACACAUCGGUGGAAGAAAACAAGCGGCUGGACGUGGAGAGGACGUCAAGGGAGCGUGCCGGCGGAAGAGCACACCCACAGACGCCGGCAGGCCACCGAGCGGCGGGCCACGGAGCGGCAGGACCAGGCGGAGUUUGGCCGGGGCAGUCGGAGGAGAGCUGGGCCGCUAAGCUGCUCAACUCCAGGAGAAAACCAUCUCCCUUCUGGCUCCUCCGUCGGCUGAGAGCUGCUUCCACUCAAUAACACUUUGCACUCGUUCUCCAAGCCCCCGUGUGAUCCGAUUCUUCUGGUACACCCAGGCGAGAACCCAGGAUACAGAAAGGCCUCGGUCCUUUCCACAAGUACCUCUACUUGAGGUGUACUCAUUGACCUGGUUUAACACAAGCUGCCUACAGACGGCAAAACUAAGAGAGCACCCUGGAACAGAGGCUUCAGCUGUAAACAUUCACCCCUGGGCACUGCCGUGGGGUGGGAGACUGCCUGACUGUAUGCUCCCCUAGAGGUUUGAGCUGCGGGGCACUGAAGAAGUGAGCCACACUCCCAUCGCGCACUCUGCGAGGGGGACAAAGGAACUUUCCCUCUUUUAACUGGGGCCUCAUCUGGGAUCUCGGAAGGUGAAUGCCUGCCUUCGAAAACCCUACCACCUGUCUUUCUUGUGGCCCGUGCCAGCUCGCUGGGAGGAGGACGAGGACGUCUGUGAUCACAUGCUCUGGUCUGGAGGCACGGCCGCGGGCCCCGGGUCAGCGUGAAUCUGCGGGGUUACUCCUCAGUCGGAUCUGAGCUCUGAAACCCAGACCCGAGGAAGACAAGCGGCCACGUCGGAUGUACCAGUGGUGGAAGAUCCUGUCCGGCUGCACCGAGGCUCACAUCAGAAGCCAGCUUCGGUUUCACCACAAAAUAAGGCGUCUAGUGCCCGAUUCUGCCUCCAAAGCAGCCCUGGGUCACACUGGCUGUAGGACAGAUGUUAUUCUUCAGAAUCACGCCCUCUGGCAAAUGCCCAUCAUCGGACAAAUGGACGGAUGAAGUGUGACUCAGCCAUGAGAAGGGGGAUGCUCUGACCCGCACGGCCACGCCACCGACCCGGAGGACACGGUGCUGCGAGAAAAAGCCAGUGUUGACAUUGGAUGGCCUGGAUUCAUGCUGGGGACACACAACUGCCACCGCCGCCCUGUGCCUGUUUCUCCUGCCAUGGCUGCCAGGCCACGCAGGGGCAACAGAGCCCACAGGCAGGUCACCCCGGAAUCCCCAGUGCCCCCAGCAGACGCCGCUGCUGGCUCUUUUUCUUUAUUCUGAGUGUUCUUUUUUUAAUUUAAAAAAAUCAUAUAAGUAAGAUAUUAGUAAGUUAACAUUGUCAUCCUUUGUAAAGCCAGGAGUUCAGAAGUAACAGGGCAAAUAGGGAAAGUCCUUCCUGGCCUGUCUGCAUACCCCUGCAGCCUCCUGGUCCUGGGGUGACUGCUGACGGAGAGGGCACUCCCUUCCAGAGUCUUCUCUGCACGUCCGCGGGCACGCACAGCUGAGCGGCACACAGCGGGCGGGCUCGCUUCUCCGCACUGGGGACACGAGAUUUCACUGCACCUCACCCAGCCCUUUCCACAGAGCAGUUCGUCUUGGAGACUUUUCUCCUUGAAGGGUCUAAAGGUUUAUUCACAGACUUCGGAAUUCCACCCCAGAGGACGCCCCACACUGGUCAGGAUGGUUGUAGAUUCUCAGUGCCCGCUGUCCAAAAUGUGGUGCCCACGCAACCUCCUGUGGCUCCACAGAGCGUGUCGGUCUGGAACCAUCACUUUCUCGUACAUACAGACCCGCCCUCCGUGUUCCCUGGAUCUCACAUCUGUCUCAACACGCCAGUCUCUGUGUCCUGGUGUUUGUCGUCGGGGAGGAUGCAACAUCGGGGGAAGGGAGUAGUCAUGUCUGGUGGCAGCUGGCACUGGCAGGCAGCGGGCACUCGAAGCCUGCACCUCGCACCUGUCCCUCUGGGGCCUCGGCUAUCCCUCCGCACGACGGGCAUGAAGCCCCCUCCUGCCUCCACUGCUUGGAUGAAAGGAGGUGAUGGGUGUGAAGGGGCAGAACUCUGCACACAGCGCCCGGCUCUGGGAACCAAACCCGUGGCUCAGGGCGGCACUGACUUCCCCAGGCCAGGAAGGUCCCCAGGCCAUUCUUUCCACAGGAAGGUCUCCAGGCCAGUCUUUCCACGGGAAGGUCCCCAGGCCAGUCUUUCCACGGGAAGGGUGGUGAGGAUGAGCCUAACGGGGAUUCCGACAUGGUGGGCCUCCCAGAGAUCAGCCCACCCUCCCACUGGCCUGUGGAGGCGCAUACCUGCAGGUGAGAAUGUCCUGGAACUUGACAAAGGCCUGUGCGGUCACAUUCAGCUCGUAGAUGACAGAGUUGAUGACAUAGGAAUCAUUCUGGACUUGCAUCUCCACAUCGUAGCUGUGACUGUUUGCCACAGCAAGGAAGAUCCUCUCCCCGAUCUGGAAGACCUCCCAGUCUGCAGCACCGAACGUCUAGGACCAAAGGAGAGCAGGCCCCAGUGCUGUGCGUCCUACGAGCACCACCUGCUGUCUCACCUCUUCCAGGAAGCCCACCCUGAUCCCUCUAGUCCCAGCCUCAGACACUGAAGCAACAUCAGGCGGAUGUCACCCACCCCUUGGGACUUCGCCGCGGGUCACUAGCCCAGACCCUCCCCUUGGCUCCGGUGGUUCCAUUUCUGCCCCUUUGCUGCUGGCCCCCUUCUGAGGAUGCCUGUGCAUCUCCAGGACCACUGCUCCAGUCCUUGGUGUAGAUCAAAGCUGGCCUUCACGUGUGGCCUGAAAAUGUAGAGUGGCCGCCUUAUGGGCUGGGCUGCCACCUCCACCACAUCACCCGUGACAGAAGCCCUGUGUUUUUCAGUAACCACGUUCCACGAACACCUCCCGACUGCCUUCCAGAACACACAAAGAUCAACGAAGCUCAGAAUCCAGUCCUGACAUCAUUUCAUGAAGAGCAGGUCCCUGCUCCUGAGCCUCAGUUUCCACACCUGUGAGAUGGGUCUGAGGUGGAAUCGCCAACCAGCUGAGGAUGCGCAGCCACAGACCACCUUCCAGAAAUCUCCAACAGGCUUUCCAAAACAGGAAGACAAGGAAGGCUGCCAUCAGCAGGAAUUCCAGGGCUUUCAGAAUGAGGCUGUCAGGAGUGAAAGGGAGCUGUGCUCCACAUGCAGGGCAGGGGCCAGGGCUGCCAGGUCUUGUUGAUCUGGGAGCGCCAGGCUGCCUGCCUGCACCUGGUCUGGGCACCGGAAGGCAGAGCUGCUCCUGCUUAGGGUCUGUGGCAACUGUCCUCCUCAGUGGGUGCUGCUGGGAGCUCCUCUGAUUCCUGGUGGGCGGCUUCUGGCCUCGCCUCUUCACCCACGGUGUAGGGUGUGGGAUGGAGAUGCAGGGCCUCUGCUCUCCUUCUCCUCUCCCCGCUCCCCCAAGCAGCCUGGGUUGUACCUCCACUAAUAAACACCAACAGGCACGCCCAGGGUGGGUUCGGCCACGGGGCAAUUCUCUGACACAUCAGGAUCAGCUUUGUGUGGUCCUGACCUUACGGUAAUGUCAGCCCCCAGAGCCAGAGGCCGGGCUAUGGCACCACCCACCCAGGCGACUUCUAUGUCAGGAUCACCGACUGUACCAUCCCUGGGGCAGUCCCCCAUGCCAGGCAAACAUUCGCCUUUCAUGCUUAAAAUCACAGGACGGGUUCACCUGCUUCGUCCUUGGACCAAGUUUCUGGUUGUCCCCUCCUGGGUCUGGCCCUCCCCUCCUUCCUUCCCAGAGGAAGAAAACACACCAGCUCUGCAUGCAAGAACGCUCCCAUCUUCCCAUCCCAGGAGCCCCUCGCUCCUGCACCCUGGGGCUCUCGGUCCUGUCCCACCUCGGCGGCUGCUGCACAGGUAGGCCGUCCUGGCCUGGCCCCUGUGUCUCUGCUUUCCUUGACUCCUGCAGUCUGUGCUUCUGUCACUUCUUCAGUGCGCCAUCCCUGGACACACUUUGUGCUCCGUGGACUCCACAGCCCCCAAACCCCCUCUUAUGCCCUCCCUGACCCCAGACCAUCUGGGCUGGCUUCUUUCUAGGACACAUACCAGUUCUCAUUCCAGAACUUUCCUUAUGGUCAUCUUGGGGUGGAGCCACCACUUCCAGUUCUGAUCUUCUGCAUCUGGUUGAGUACCUGGGCUUGCCAGUGCACCCCCCGAGGAACACUGCCUAGUCCAGGGCUCCCACAUGUCUCAGACUGACAGGAGACUGGGUCAUAUGACUGGCACUAGCCAAUGAGCUGUGAGCACACGUGAGUACACGUGACACAGGGACAAGCUGGGUCAUGUGACUGGCACUAGCCAAUGAGCUGUGAGGACAUGUGAGCACAGGUCCAGCUAGGCUGGGUCAUAUGACAAGCAUUAGCCAAUGAGCUGUGAGGACAUGUGAGCACAGGUCCAGCUAGGCUGGGACAUGUGACUGGCACUGGCCAAUGGGCUGUGAGCACAGGUCAGGUCAGCCCCUUCCUGCUGCUUCCCACUGUGUGUGCUCCUUGUCUGACUUGAUGUGAGAACCCAAUAUGGCAGGAAGCCACUGACAUGUGGGAGCCGUGCAUGGCAGUGGCCAGCGUCCUUGUCCUGCGGGGGCGCUGCGUACAUCACUCGCCUUCAGAACACUGAGCCCUCCUACCUCCUGAUAUCCAGGGCUGCUGAUGGGAAAUCCCAGGCUGCCGUGCUCCUGUGUGCUUUGAAGCCUGACUCCUGCAGUUUCAGGAUUUUUGUCAAACAUCCGGGGACCCUUAGCUGGAGAGGAUGGCAUGGGUGACACGCAGCUGGCCAGGUACGCUCUGGGGCACUGGGGCAUCUUGAGCACCUUGGUGCAGUGUUGUGAAGAAGACACUGUAAAUUGGACUUGGUGUUAUCACAGGGGCUUUAGGAUCACGGUGUUGGUAGAUCUAGGAUGAUAAUCUCCAAAAUGCACUCCCCAACCCACUGCAGGGAUCCUUUCUCUUGUCACCUCACUUUGUGAUUUAGAAUGCAGGGCCUCCAGGACAGCAGCCUCUCCGUGGCACAGCAGCUGUUAGGAGACCUUGCCUAGUUGACGAGAAAGUCACUUGUGGUGCCUUUCCAUCCAGGGUGUGCGACUCUGCUCUCAAGACCCCCUGGAGGCCCAUCCCCUGCCCCCCACCAGCUCAUUCGUUAGAUGAUUGGAAGUGACUGCCUACGUCUUCUUUCAGGAUAAAGCCUCAAGUCCUGCAACUAUUCCUUGUGUGGUAACGUUUCAAAUCCCUUCCUGGUUCUGGCAAAGCUCCUCAAACAUGCUCCAGUGUGCUGGGGCUCUGCAUGUGUGAGCCUGGGGCCAGCAGGGCACACGUUCAUGUCAGGGCACCAGUAUGAUCCUGAUGACACAUGACUGGUGUGGAGCCCCGGGUGUUUCCACGGGAACUGCUGUCGGCCAGAUUGCCUGUGCUCAAGUCCCCAAGCCAACCUUUCGUUGCUGCUCGAUGUCACCAUUUGCCUUUUUUUGUUGUGUUUUUUUUUUGUUUUUGAGAUGGAGUCUCACUCUGUCGCCCAGGCUGGAGUGCAGUGGCGCGAUCGCGGCUCACUGCAAGCUCCACCUCCCAGGUUCACGCCAUUCUCCUGCCUCAGCCUCCCGAGUAGCUGGGAUUACAGGUGCCUGCCACCACGCCAGGCUAAUUUUUUUUUUGUAUUUUUAGUAGAGACGGGGUUUCACCGUGUUCGCCAGGAUGGUCUUGAUCUCCUGACCUUGUGAUCCGUCUGCCUUGGCUUCCCAAAGGGUUGGGAUUACAGGCGUGAGCCACUGCGCCCAGCCCACCAUUUGCCUUUUGAGCCACUGUCCCCGCGUGUCGAGCCCUCCUCGGGAGUCCCAAUUUCCAGCCCAUAUCACGCUCUUGGCCCCAGCUUGCAGCUGCUUUCGCAUGUCAAACCUCACCAGCCUUAAGUUCAACUUCAGGUCAAUGAUUACUGGUCAGAGGGGCCAUUCCUGCUGAGCCCUGUGGUCAGGCUAACCCAUGACCGAAGGCUCCUGAACCCUCCUUCAGGUCCGCUGUCUGCACACCAGCACGUGGCCACCAGCCCAGGACACCCUUGUAGUUUCCCAGAGUCUUAGCAGCAUGCGUGUUGCGGUGAGAGGACUGUGCAGGGACCAGUAAGACAAGGAACUUAUGCUCAGCUCUGUCCCGUGCCACAUCAAACCAAGUGACAGGCCGCAUUGCUUGGCUUGAUCCCAGUUCUGCCACGAGCAAAGCCCUCCACCGUUCUGAGCCUCUGUGUCCUUGUGGGUAACAGGGACCAGUGGCAGCAAGCCCCUCUCAAGGUGCUGUGAGGGUGACGUGGGAGGAUGCGGGCAGAGCUCUUGGCACAGGUGCUCUACAGUCAAGGCUCAGCCAGUGUGAGCUGCUACCACCACCUACCUCCUGAGGCUGUUACCAAGGCCAAUGGCUGGAAGGAAUCUUGCUCACCCCCAACCCCAGUGCACUGAGCCUCACUCUGCCCCCGUGGCAGGGGGCUCAUCCCACCUCUUCCUGGCUACCAGGCAUGCUCACCUGUUCCAUCCACAGCACUAGCGAGCUCAAGGUGUGUUCCUUCUGGCACUGCUGCCUCCUCACCUGGGCGCCUGUGGCUCAUCUGGGCGGCCACAGCAGCCUCCCAAUGGCUCACUCCCUCCCAGCCACCGACCAGUCAUUAUCGUGCAGCCCUGUCAACCCCACAAGGGCAGGCUUCACGUUUCACUUGCAGCCUGUGGGUCUGGGUGGUGACCCUGCUGCCUACUCCCAGCCCCACUGCCCUGCAGGUACCCUCCCCACUUUCCCAGCCCUCACUUCCUCCUGGUGAGGGCUGGGAAAGUGGGGAGGGUGCUCCCUGACAUCUGCUCUCCUCGUGCCCUGAACAUCCACGUAAAGCUGCCCUUCCCCACUGGACCACGAGUGCCCGAAGGGUGGGGCGAUGGUCACCUGGAUGACACUGUGCCCCAGCCUGCCAGAGGACUGAGCACGUGAGAGUCCCGGAGCAAUUCUCUGCACGCAUCAACGCGUGUGAUUGGUCCCUGUGAGCCGCGGCUCCUGGUCCGGCCCCUGCGGGCUUCUCAAGGUGGUCACACUCCGGGUUUCCUAAGCUGCUCUCACUCCUGCUGGGUGGAGGGGCUCCAGGAACCUGCGACUGCUGAACUCUAUCUUCUUCCCUUCUGUUUUGAAGCUCAUUCCCAUGUGCUACCUGCAGGCUUGCUCUAAUGAGAUGUGUGGAAUGUUCCAGAAUGCCUUCAAUCAUUUCAGCCAUAAAGCCCCACCCACCACAUGCACAGCUUCUUGUCUAAUGCAGGGGUAGCCUGGCAAGGCCUGACUGUUGUCACUGUUUUUCCAGACUCCCUGAUGGGGGCGGGGGGUCCGGGCAUCAGCGUCUGCCAUGGCUCUGCCCCUGUACCAGCCUCACUGGGACGUGGCAUGGGGGCAGCUCACGUGGCAAGAGUGGCCUGGGUUAGUCUCACUGCCUCGGGUACAGAAGGCCCUGAGAACAUUUCUGCAGGGGAAUGAGUCACCAGGUCAGGGGGCACAGAAGAUUCCGGAAGGACAUGAGGGAGGUGAUGUCUUAUGAGAGGCACGCUUCCAGCAAACAGUGGGAGUGCUGUCACCGGCACUGCAGAGCCCCUGAGCUGCCCCCUCCGGGGAACCGGGCUCACAUACAGGCUGAGCCCGAGGUGGGAGAUGCGCCCCCACCUGUCCCGUACCCCGCACCUCUGCUCCGAUCAAGUCCUCGGCACACUUGCUGGGAGCAGGCAGCACGCUGUCCCUGCCCCUGGAGGUGGCCUAAUAAGCACCUGUUGCUGCCUCAACUCAAAGGUCUCGUGGUGGCUGGAACCAGCCAAGGGACACUUGAGGCCUGGAGGGGAGCGCCACGUGCUGCCCCGACCUGGCCCCCAUGCUGCCCUGGGUCAGAGCUGAGCUGCCCAGCUGCCCCAGGGCCAGGGCCCUGACGCCCAUACAGACUCAGAUUAGACUGCGGGAGCUCCUGAGGGGAGGGAGGGCCUGUUCUGAGCCUGGGGGCUGCUUUAUGGAGAACACCACGCCAGGGUGGGGCAGAGCCAGGGUGCGCCUCCUGCCUCAUUUCCAGGCACCUAGACUGUCCCUGGGCGCACAGAGGCUCUCAGGCAAGAAGGGCUCAGACGCCAGGCAAGGAUCCUGUGCCGUCCAGAGGAGCAGGCCCUGCCUGGGUUUUGGGGUCACGGGUGCAGAGCAGCACUAGGUUUGGCUCUCGGUGGACCCCCAGUCCACAUCACCUGUCCAGCAGGUGCACGUGACAGACGCAGUGGUCAGCAAUGGAGAGCCGGGGCUCAUGUGGGGGGCCUUACCGGGAAGGACUGGAAGAGCUGGAAGGAACCCAGGAGUCGGAUGUAGAGGUGUGAGUGCACCUUCGUGGAGGUGCCGUUGAAGGUGUUGGCCACCACCAGGAACGAGUAGGGCCCCACACUGAAGAACUCCCAGUCGUAGGCGCCGGAGGUGGCGAUGGUCUGGUUGGCCUCGAAGAGCCGGGUUGCCGGGUUCCACUUGUAGAUGACACUGUUGAUGUUGUGGUUGUCGCCUGGAACCAAGGGACUGUGCUGGGGGCAGGGAGGCAGAUUCCACAGCCCCAUGGCAGCCCCGACGGAGGCAGAGCCCAGUCCAAGUCCCUCCCCGAGGACCGAAGACCCACGAGGGCAAGGCCAGCCGCUGGGGACAUCCUUUCUUACCUUGAGCUUCCCGCCCUCAGCCCCUUGCUGACUGCACCUCUGGGCCAUCACAGGUGCUAUUCCCAUGUGGAAAUGCUUGGUGAUCCCCACCGCCCUCGGGACAGGUGUACAUCUCCAUGGCCUCCCCGUGUCCCGGAGGUGGGGCCCACCGUGUCCUGGCCCCGCCGCCCAAGGCUCCCCAGCAUCCCCACAGGCCAGGCCUUCCCACGCACUGCCACCUCUGCCCGGAGGCCCCUCCCUCUCCACUGUGGAGCUCCCCCAUUGGGUGGGUCGUGGGCUCAGGGGAGUGCAGAGCUGUGGAGCCUGGGCAGGGUUGGGUCUGGGGGGUCCUGCAGGCGGAGAGAUGCCCUCAGACCCAGGCCGGCUCAUGGAGCUACACAAUGGCAGGUACUCAUGGUGGCCACUCAGGGCAGUGUCCCUGGCCUGGAAAGCAGGUGUCCCGGUACCUCCCAGGCCAGUGCUCCUCACUGUCUCUGCUGGCACAAGGCGGGACAGCUGCCUGUCCUCAGGAAACAAGGCCAUGGAGGCCAUCCAGAUCCCAUGUCCUCGGCAGCUGUCCUCCACCACACACCUGGCCAUGCCAGCCACCAGGCCAGCAUCCUCGCCAUGGGCCUGGGCCUGGGCCCACCACCCAACAUCUGCCGUCCCUGUGCUGGUCAGACCUUUCCUGCUGGGAGGCUGCUUAGUCUGUCAGUCAGUCAUUGAGGUAGUCAGUCAGUCAGUUGUCAGUCAGUCAGAUAGUCAGUCAUCAGUCAGUCACUGAAACAGUUAGUCAAGUAGUCAGGUAGUUUGUCAGUCAGCCAGGUAGUUAGUCAGUUAGUCAGUCAGCCAGCCAGCCAAUUAGUCAGUGAAGUAGUCAGUCAGCCAGUCAGUGAAUUUGUCAGUCAGGUAGUUGGUCAGUCAGUCAGUUAGCCAGCCAGCCAAUUAGUCAGUGAGGUAUUCAGUCAGUCAGUCAGUUUGUCAGUCAGUCAGGUAGUUAGUCACUCAGUGAAGUGGUCGGUCAGUUGUGUCAGUCAGUCAGUAAGGUAGUCAGUUGGUCAGUCAGGUAGUUAAUAAGUCAGGUAGUCAGGUAGUUAGUCAGGUAGUCAGGUAGUAAGGUAAUCAGUCAGUCAGGCAGUUAGUUUGGUAGUCGGUCAGGUAGGCAGUCAGUCAUCAGUCAGUGAGGUAGUUAAGUCAUUGACAUGGUCAGUAAGUCAGUCAGGUCAUCAGUCAGUCAGUUCAGUAGUUAGUCAUCAGUCAGGUAGUUAAUCAGUCAGGUAGUCAGUCAUCAGUUAGUGAGUGAGGUAGUCAGUUGUCAGGUAGUCAUCAGCCAGUCAGAUAGGCAGGUAGUUAGUCAUCAGUCAGUCAGUCAGGUAGUCAGCCAGGUAGUUAGUCAAUCAGUCAGCCAGUCAGUGAGGUAGUUAAUCAGUUAGUCAGUGAGGUAGUCAGUCAGUCAGUUUGUUAGUCAGGUAAUUAGGUAGUCAGUCAGUUUGUUAGUCAGGUAAUUAGGUAGCCAGUCAGUUCAGUGGCUAGUCAGGUAGUUGGUCAGUCAUCAGUCAGGUUGUUAAUCAGUCAGGUAGUUUGUCAGUCAGUCAGUCAAUUAGCCAGUGAGGUAGUCAGUCAGUCAGGUAGUCAGCCAGUCAUCAGUCAGGUAGUUAGUCAGGUAGUCAUCAGUCAGGUAGUUAGUUGUCAGGUAGUCAGUCAUCAGUCAGUCAGUGAGGUAGUUAAGUCAUUGACAUGGUCAGUAAGUCAGUCAGGUCAUCAGUCAGUCAGUUCAGUAGUUAGUCAUCAGUCAGGUAGUUAAUCAGUCAGGUAGUCAGUCAUCAGUUAGUCAGUGAGUGAGGUAGUCAGUUGUCAGGUAGUCAUCAGCCAGUCAGAUAGGCAGGUAGUUAGUCAUCAGUCAGUCAGUCAGGUAGUCAGCCAGGUAGUUAGUCAAUCAGUCAGCCAGUCAGUGAGGUAGUUAAUCAGUUAGUCAGUGAGGUAGUCAGUCAGUCAGUUUGUUAGUCAGGUAAUUAGGUAGUCAGUCAGUUAGUCAGUUUGUUAGUCAGGUAAUUAGGUAGUCAGUCAGUUAGUCAGUUUGUUAGUCAGGUAAUUAGGUAGUCAGCCAGUCAGUUCAGUGGCUAGUCAGGUAGUUGGUCAGUCAUCAGUCAGGUUGUUAAUCAGUCAGGUAGUUUGUCAGUCAGUCAGUCAAUUAGCCAGUGAGGUAGUCAGUCAGUCAGGUAGUCAGCCAGUCAUCAAUCAGGUAGUUAAUCAGGUAGUUAGUCAUCAGUCAGGUAGUUAGUCAGUUGUCAGGUAGUCAGUCAUCAGUCAGUCAGGUAGUUAGGCAAUCAGUCAAUAAGUGAGGUAGUCAGGUAGUCAGAUAGCUGGUCAGUCAGUCAGUCAGUGAGGUAGUCAGUCAGUUAGCUAGUCAAGUAGUUAGAUAAUCAGUCAGUCAGACAGUCAGGUAGUUAGGCAGGUAGUCACUCCAUCAGUCAGUCAGUCAGUCAGUGAGGUAGUCCAUCAGUCAGCCAGCCAGCCAGCCAGUCAGGUAGUUAGUCAACUAAUCAUUCAGUCAGUCAGUCAGGUAGGUAGUCAGUCAGAUAGUAAGUCAGUUAAUGAGUUAGCCAGUCAGGUAGUUAGUCAGGUAAUCAGUCAGUCAGUGGGAGAGUCAGGUAAUUAGGUAGUCAGUCAGUCAGGUAGUCAAUCAAUGAGUCAGUUAGUUAGUCAGCCAGUCAGGUAGUUAGGUAGUCAGUCAGACAGUCAAGUAGUUAGUCAGGUAGUCAGUCAGGCAGGCAGGCAGUCAGUCAGUCAGACAAGUAGUCAGUAAGGUAACCAGUCAGUGAUGUAGUCAGGUAGUCAGUCAAUCAGUUAGUCAGGUAGUUAGCCAGUUAGUCAUGUAAUCAGUCAGUCAUGUAGUCAGUCAUCAGUCAGUCAGGUAGUUAGUCAUCAGUUAGUCAGGUAAUUAGUCAGCUAGUCAGUUAAUCAGGUAGUUAGGUAAUCAGUCAGUGAGACAGUCAAUCAGUCAGUAAGGUAGUCAGUCAGGUAAUUAGUAGUCAGUCAGAGAGUCAGGUAGUCAUUCAUAUAGACAGUCAGGUAGUUAGUCAACCAGUCAGUGAGGUAGUCAGUCAGCCAAUAGCCAGUCAGCCAGUCAGGUAGUUAGUCAGGUAAUCAGUCAGUCAGUCAGAUAGUCAGGUAGUUAGUCAUUCAGGUAGUCAGUCAGUCACUCUUUGAGGCAGUCAGUCAGUCAGUCAGUGAGUCAGUGAGGCAGUCAGCCAGCCAGCCAGUCAGAUAGUUAGUCAUUCGGGUGGUCAGUCAGUCAGGUAGUUAGUCAGAUAGUCAGUUAGCCAGUCAGCUAAUUAGUCAUUCAGGUUGUCAGUCAGCCAAUCAGGUAUCAGUCAGGUAGUCAGUCAGACAGUCAGGUAGUUAGUCAGUCAAUCAGUCAGUGAAGUAGUCAGUCCGUCUGUGAUGUAGUUGGUCAUUCAGGUCGUCAAUCAGUCAGUCAGGUAGUUAGUCAGUCAUGUAAUUAGUCAAGUAGUUAGUCAAGAAGUCAGGUAAUUAGUCAAUCAGUCAUCAGGCAGUCAGUCAUCAGGUAAUUAGGUAGUCAGUCAGGUAGUCAGUGAGUUAGGUAGUUAAUCAGCUAGUCAGUCAGUCAGGUAGUCAGUUUCAGACAAGGAGGGAGGCUGGCAGGUAUUCUGUGCUGGGAGUCAGUCUGGCAGUCCAUGUUUCUGGGGUGGCUGUGCUGUGGGCAGGUGCCCCAGGGACCACCAGUAGAUCUCCCUCCCCCAGACAGUGAGGAACGGUCCAGAACGCAUGUUCACCCUGUGCUGCAUGUGGCUUAUUGUUCUCUAAUAAGAUACACAUUCGCCCUGCCUGCAAGUCUCGCUCUGCCCCUGGAGUGGUUGCCUCCCGGUGUAAAGGCCACACCUGCCCUACCUUCCCGGUGGUUGGCCACCGCCAGGAAGUGCUCCCCAUCCACCUCGAAGGCCUCCCAGUCUCGGGCGCUGUGUGUGGCAAUGCUCUGAUAUGGGGUAAACUUCAGCUUUCUGUGGCUCCAUUUGUAAAUGACAGAGAACUCCUGACCCUUCUCAUCUGGUUCAAAAUUAGCCACUGCCAGGAAGAUCUGAAAGAGAGUAAACCGGGACCACGUGGUUCUGCUUGGGUCGGUGCCAGCGGCCUGGUUUCUGAAGGCUUCUGAACAUCAGCAUCUCUCUCCAGAUCCACGGCUGCUACGUGGUGCAGGGACAGAGGACCGAGGCCCCCGCAUUACAGGUCAUCAUGGUGGGGUGGGCGCAGAGCCGGUCAUUACAUUCAUCAAGACCCUUGAAAAUGUCCAUAUUCUUUACCCAAUAUUUCCACUUCUAUUGCUAUCUGAAGGCAAAAACACAAAAGCCAAAAUUCCCAAAUUCAGGAAAAGCUUUAUGCACAAAAAUGUUCUUCAUAACCCAGAUGACCAGAAAAACGCAUCACAACCUGCUCUCCUGUGUUACGGGUGUGAUCACCACGCAAAGCUGUGUCAGGGCAAUGUGUAAAACAUGAAUAUGGCACAAUGUGCCCAGGGCUCAUAGUGUAGCUGUGUGAACAUACAGAAUGAGGGGCAAGGUGCAUGGUUCAUGGACGAUGUGCUUGGAGGCAAGGACGCGACAUAAACCUACGUACUUGCUUGGAAGAUGGAACAAAAUAUUGUCCCCUUUGCUUUUCUGAAUUUUCCAAUUGUUCUUUGAUGCAAACUUUUUUUAUAAUAAAAAAUUAAAACCUUA